CCGUAAUGCCACCACACCAGUCUCAAGUUAAAAUUCGGGAGAGUGCUGAUGAUGAAGUGUCACAGAUAGGGAUCCUGUAUGCAAUAAAGUCUCCCGUGGAGCUGAUUCGCAUUCAAAUGUAUAUCCUGGGAUUUUUCCUGAUAAGUCCAGCUUCAAUCAAACUGGUUUGCCUGACCAAACAACACCUAGGGAAUUUAGAUGAAGAAGAAACUGGUGUCGUCGCCAGACUGAGAUGUUGGUGUGAAUGAGGAUCACGGUGAAGUGGAUUUCUGGGAGAGGAAGGAAGGGGCUUCACAGACCUGCCUAUGCUGCUUCCUGUAUACCAUCUGGCAGCACUCGGAGCCUCAGAUGAUGGGAAAGUGACGGAAGGCGUGCAGGAGACGGGCCUGACGCCUGCUGUUAAAGUGAGGCCCCGGCAGGAAGAUUAAAGAACGGCAGCAUUCCCUCCUUCCUGUGCCGACUAGUGUCCAACAGCAACAGCAGAAGUCACAUGACACCUCCAAAGACACCGUUGAGCAGUCUUUGUUGAAAUUCUCGAAAUGGACAAAACUAUUCUACUCAAAGAACCUAGGAGUACUGAUCUUCGAUCUUCAUUUUUAUGUUCUAUGUAUUAGUGAAGUAAUCUUCAUUUAAUGGUCCUAAGCAGUGGCUUGUUUCCGUUUCAUCUAAAGUCUCUUCUGCAAUCAGGAUUUUAUGAUGACACGCAUGAUUUAACCACAGACCCAUUUCCACAAAGUUAAGUUUUUGGUAUUAUUAG